UUUCAUAUACUGCUGAUGAUAUAUUAGUAGGAAUCUCACUGAAUUUCGUUAUGCGUUAUUAUGAAAACAACUUUACCUCACUGACCAUUUAAAC